rnacentral:tRNA from 1 species
GUUUCGAUGGCCGAGGCGACAACGGCGCUGGACUUCAAAUCUGGCAGAAUCGAGGUUCAAAUCCUUUCCAGACC